GCUCCGGGAGGAAGAGUAUUCCCGGAGGGGGCACCGGCGGGUGCCAAGGCAGGAAGACUGUCACCACCCCUCAGAAGCUGCGACUCCCGCCCGGGAACGCCCCUGUCUGGCCUCAGCUUUCUCCUUUGUAAAAAGGGAGCAGUGCUGCCUGCCAGGCCAGGACGCUGGAAAAUUCUCCAGGAGCCUUGUAGGGGCUGGGCACGGCACUUCGUUGCAGUCCUCCAGGGCUGACCUCCUUCUCCUUGUCCGUCCCGGGAGGCUGUGAGUCCUGCGGGAGGGGGCCCGGGCCGUCUGCCCCCUGGCUCCUCCCAGGGCCCGGCACGGCCUGGCGCCAGUAGGUGUCUGUGGAAUUGAAUGCACGAGGACAUCCCAGUUCCGUUGUCUGCGUGGUGGGGACAAUGCGGAGGUGGCCGCAGUGCAGGGAUGAAAAAGCUGCUGUCUGCUCUCCCCGCCUCCCGCUGGCAGGUCAGGCCGCUGUGGACCCCCGAGAGCCCCCGGCGGGUGGGGAAGGAGGUGAGCGGGUGGGCUGGACAGAUCCCCCAGCUCUGGGUUCUGAGGCCGGGGAUCCCGAGGUGCCCGGAAGGAAAUGACAAUCAGCUUCAUUGACAAUGGAAGGAAACUGAGGUACGUUAACAACAACAAUAACAAAAUCCAUCCCUUACUGAGUGCCUGCUCCACGCCAGGCGCUGGGCUGAGCCCUUUGACCCACGUUGUUUCGGGUAACCCUUUCAGCAGUUAUCCUAGGAAGCUGACAGCACGGCCCCAUGUCACAAGUGAGGAAACGAAGACUCAGAGAGGUAAGUCGGGGCCUCACCACCAGCCGCCGUGCCCAGCCCUCUUUUAUUUUUAUCUUCUAUUCACUGGAAUCUAAAACAGAACUUAGAACAGUUUAGGUACUUAAUAAAUACUUGCCCAAUGAAUAAAUGAAUUAAUUUUGAUUUUUGAUCCAAUAUGAGUCUUUGUUUUUUAAUAGACCUAUUUAACUCAUUUACAUUUAUUACAUUUAUUGUUUAAAUGAUAUGUUUGGUCCUGUGUCAUCUUGUAUUAUUUUUGUUCCCAUUCCCGCCUGGAGGGACCAUGAGGAGAAACAGAGCCACCUUUACAAAAAUCUGGCUCCAGAACUCAGAAUCGAAAACCCGGGACUGCUGAGUGGGUAAGGGGUACCUGGGGGAGACGGGAUGUGGGGAUUGGACAGAGUUCUCAUCUGGGGGACCCGGAGCUGUGCAACAAAUCACUGCAAGAAUGAGGGGUCUGGGCUCAGUGUCAUGGCCUUUUCACUCUGGAUGGCCCAGGGCAGGGAGGGGAAGCCCCAACCUCCAGCUCACUCCAGCAACCUGGAAUUUACUCUGCUUCAUUCAUUCAUUCUUUCAAUCAGUCAACAGAAAACAUAAUAUGCAGACGUGCCGGGCAUGUUCACACGGAGCUGUGGGUCAGCCAUGCUCUUGGCUCUCAGCAACCCGAGCUGGACUCUUGGCCCUGCCCAGCCAGGGCCCUUCCUCCCACCUGAAUGGCCUAAAAGUGUGGACCCAGCCUCCCCCUCUAGGGAGAAGACCUACCGUGAGUCACUCGGUGCCAGGCUCUGCACUGGUAGUUUACAUGCUUAAUUGGCUCAUUAAUUGGCUCAUCAGGUUAGUUUUCUCCCCAUUUCAAAGAGAAGACUGAUGCUCAGAGAGGUAGAGUGACAUGUCCAAUGCCACACAGCCAGUGAGUGUCAUGGCUGGGGUGUGAACUCUGUGCGGACACUAUAAGGUGCCUUCUUGCCACUGCAGGGCCGCCUGCUGGGAAAUGGCAGUGGACAGGCCUCAGCCGGCUGCGUGUCCUCACGUGGGUCCCCUGACCUUUGUGGCCUCAGUUCUCUGUCUGGGAAACACAUGAGGUCAGGGUCAGGACCUUGACGGCCCCACCCUCGGGGCAGUGGAGUUCCCAAAGGGCUGAGCAGGCGACUUCUCAUUUCACCCUCACAAUGACCCCGCCUGACAAAGGAGGAAACUGAGGCUCAGAGAGGGGAAGUGCGUUUCCUAUGAGGACCUGGGACGGAGUCUGUUCACUGAAUGCACACCACAGAUGUUCAAUAUGCCUCAGCUGCUGUUGUCACCGUUGUCACCAGGCCCUGACUGUCCACUUCCCAGCUAAGGUCGUGCUCAGUUUCACUUUCAUCCGUCAUAAAGUGGAAGGAACAGCGGCGCCUGCCUCCGGAGCUGGGCAGGAUCCGUUCAUGCCUCCACAAGUGCCUGGCAGAAUCUGUCCCCAUGUGGCAGCUGAGGCUCAGAGACAGCAAGUGAGACCUUGGGGGUCUUGCGUCCUCGAGCCAGGCCUGGGAAACCUGCUUCGCCUCAGGCCGUGGGUGUGGCCGGGACAGGCGUCCUCCGCCUAGAAAUCCUCCGCCUGGGGCCCACCCUGCAGUCCUCCCCGUGGUCCUCCCUGCAGUCCUGCUGCCCCUGGCUUCUCCCGUGAUCAUUACCAUUGUCACUAGGCCAUGAGUAAACUGUGAUUAUAAAUCGUAUAAA